GGUUAAGCGACUAAGCGUACACGGUGGAUGCCCUGGCAGUCAGAGGCGAUGAAGGACGUGCUAAUCUGCGAUAAGCGUCGGUAAGGUGAUAUGAACCGUUAUAACCGGCGAUUUCCGAAUGGGGAAACCCAGUGUGUUUCGACACACUAUCAUUAACUGAAUCCAUAGGUUAAUGAGGCGAACCGGGGGAACUGAAACAUCUAAGUACCCCGAGGAAAAGAAAUCAACCGAGAUUCCCCCAGUAGCGGCGAGCGAACGGGGAGGAGCCCAGAGCCUGAAUCAGUGUGUGUGUUAGUGGAAGCGUCUGGAAAGGCGCGCGAUACAGGGUGACAGCCCCGUACACAAAAAUGCACAUGCUGUGAGCUCGAUGAGUAGGGCGGGACACGUGGUAUCCUGUCUGAAUAUGGGGGGACCAUCCUCCAAGGCUAAAUACUCCUGACUGACCGAUAGUGAACCAGUACCGUGAGGGAAAGGCGAAAAGAACCCCGGCGAGGGGAGUGAAAAAGAACCUGAAACCGUGUACGUACAAGCAGUGGGAGCACGCUUAGGCGUGUGACUGCGUACCUUUUGUAUAAUGGGUCAGCGACUUAUAUUCUGUAGCAAGGUUAACCGAAUAGGGGAGCCGAAGGGAAACCGAGUCUUAACUGGGCGUUAAGUUGCAGGGUAUAGACCCGAAACCCGGUGAUCUAGCCAUGGGCAGGUUGAAGGUUGGGUAACACUAACUGGAGGACCGAACCGACUAAUGUUGAAAAAUUAGCGGAUGACUUGUGGCUGGGGGUGAAAGGCCAAUCAAACCGGGAGAUAGCUGGUUCUCCCCGAAAGCUAUUUAGGUAGCGCCUCGUGAAUUCAUCUCCGGGGGUAGAGCACUGUUUCGGCAAGGGGGUCAUCCCGACUUACCAACCCGAUGCAAACUGCGAAUACCGGAGAAUGUUAUCACGGGAGACACACGGCGGGUGCUAACGUCCGUCGUGAAGAGGGAAACAACCCAGACCGCCAGCUAAGGUCCCAAAGUCAUGGUUAAGUGGGAAACGAUGUGGGAAGGCCCAGACAGCCAGGAUGUUGGCUUAGAAGCAGCCAUCAUUUAAAGAAAGCGUAAUAGCUCACUGGUCGAGUCGGCCUGCGCGGAAGAUGUAACGGGGCUAAACCAUGCACCGAAGCUGCGGCAGCGACACUAUGUGUUGUUGGGUAGGGGAGCGUUCUGUAAGCCUGUGAAGGUGUACUGUGAGGUAUGCUGGAGGUAUCAGAAGUGCGAAUGCUGACAUAAGUAACGAUAAAGCGGGUGAAAAGCCCGCUCGCCGGAAGACCAAGGGUUCCUGUCCAACGUUAAUCGGGGCAGGGUGAGUCGACCCCUAAGGCGAGGCCGAAAGGCGUAGUCGAUGGGAAACAGGUUAAUAUUCCUGUACUUGGUGUUACUGCGAAGGGGGGACGGAGAAGGCUAUGUUGGCCGGGCGACGGUUGUCCCGGUUUAAGCGUGUAGGCUGGUUUUCCAGGCAAAUCCGGAAAAUCAAGGCUGAGGCGUGAUGACGAGGCACUACGGUGCUGAAGCAACAAAUGCCCUGCUUCCAGGAAAAGCCUCUAAGCAUCAGGUAACAUCAAAUCGUACCCCAAACCGACACAGGUGGUCAGGUAGAGAAUACCAAGGCGCUUGAGAGAACUCGGGUGAAGGAACUAGGCAAAAUGGUGCCGUAACUUCGGGAGAAGGCACGCUGAUAUGUAGGUGAAGUCCCUCGCGGAUGGAGCUGAAAUCAGUCGAAGAUACCAGCUGGCUGCAACUGUUUAUUAAAAACACAGCACUGUGCAAACACGAAAGUGGACGUAUACGGUGUGACGCCUGCCCGGUGCCGGAAGGUUAAUUGAUGGGGUCAGCGCAAGCGAAGCUCUUGAUCGAAGCCCCGGUAAACGGCGGCCGUAACUAUAACGGUCCUAAGGUAGCGAAAUUCCUUGUCGGGUAAGUUCCGACCUGCACGAAUGGCGUAAUGAUGGCCAGGCUGUCUCCACCCGAGACUCAGUGAAAUUGAACUCGCUGUGAAGAUGCAGUGUACCCGCGGCAAGACGGAAAGACCCCGUGAACCUUUACUAUAGCUUGACACUGAACAUUGAGCCUUGAUGUGUAGGAUAGGUGGGAGGCUU
rnacentral:rRNA from 1 species